AUUGAACGCUGGCGGCAUGCCUAACACAUGCAAGUCGAACGGCAGCACAGAUAUAGUUUACUAUAUUGGGUGGCGAGUGGCGGACGGGUGAGUAACGCGUGGGUAUAUAACCCUAAAGACGGGGACAACUUGCGGAAACGCGAGCUAAUACCGCAUACGCCCUACGGGGGAAAGCCGGGGAUCUUCGGACCUGGCGCUAGUAGAUGAGCCCGCGUGAGAUUAGCUUGUUGGUGGGGUAAUGGCCUACCAAGGCAACGAUCUCUAGCUGGUCUGAGAGGACGAUCAGCCACACUGGGACUGAGACACGGCCCAGACUCCUACGGGAGGCAGCAGUGGGGAAUAUUGGACAAUGGGCGAAAGCCUGAUCCAGCAAUGCCGCGUGUGUGAAGAAGGCCUGAGGGUUGUAAAGCACUUUCAAUCGUGAAGAAAAGUUGCAGGCUAAUACCCUGUGACCUUGACGUUAACGAUACAAGAAGCACCGGCUAACUCCGUG
rnacentral:rRNA from 1 species